ACCAGACUCCUACGGGAGGCAGCAGUGAGGAAUAUUGGUCAAUGGGCGAGAGCCUGAACCAGCCAAGUCGCGUGAGGGAAGACGGUCCUAUGGAUUGUAAACCUCUUUUGUCGGGGAGCAAAAAGGCCUCGUGAGGCCACAAGUGAGAGUACCCGAAGAAAAAGCAUCGGCUAACUCCGUGCCAGCAGCCGCGGUAAUACGGAGGAUGCGAGCGUUAUCCGGAUUUAUUGGGUUUAAAGGGAGCGUAGAUGGGUUGUUAAGUCAGUUGUGAAAGUUUGCGGCUCAACCGUAAAAUUGCAAUUGAUACUGGCAGUCUUGAGUACAGGUGAGGUAAGCGGAAUUCGUGGUGUAGCGGUGAAAUGCUUAGAUAUCACGAAGAACCCCGAUUGCGAAGGCAGCUUACUAAACUGUGACUGACAUUGAUGCUCGAAAGUGUGGGUAUCAAACAGGAUUAGAUACCCCGGUA
rnacentral:rRNA from 1 species